UGGUGAUUCUCAGUAGAUUUCCAGUGAGA
rnacentral:piRNA from 1 species